AGUCAAACAGUAACCACGACAGCUGCCCCAACGGAGGCACCAACAGAAGCACCAACAGCACCUGGGACAGCACAGACAAAACCAACUCGGACAAAACCAACUCAGCCAACAUCUCAGACCAAAUUCACAAAGACAAAACAGACAACACCUCAGAAAGAUCCUCCUCCAAAACUAUUAUUAUAUUUUGCUAAUGGAUAAAACUUCUCCCCCUCAGUAUUGGCGCUGAACAAAGUAAAGAUAAGCAUCAGCAAAAUACAUAUGCCAGAACGGUUUUGGAUGUAAACGUGAAAACAUCUCCUGGAACAUUUACUGCUGAGGUAAACCUGAUAAGCAAAUGUGUCAUUGGAUAGCUGCUGAACAAGAAAAGAAAGCCUCACCUGGCCCUUGAGAAUUAUGAAACUAACCUUGGACUUAUUAAAGUCAAGGAAAUGGCAACUGUACAUGGGGGAUCAGAUUCCUUCCUAAACCUUCAGUGGAAGGACAAGCUUUUCCCCUCCAAACAGUUCUUGGCCAGGGGAAGAAGAUGGCAAUCUCCUGUGCUGAAUUUCCUCCUGCUCCUCUCCUCCUGUUUGAAGGAUCUCAAGGCCAGAGGACAAAUUGCUGGAUUCAGGGUCAAAUGAGAGGAAAUGUUUUUAGUGUGCAGGAAUCUUCCAGGCUUUCUUUUCCUGGGUUUGGAGACAAUUUACACACAUGAAAAUUUUCUCUGAAUAGCAUAUUACUUCCUCCUGAUUUCUCUUAUAAUAAACUCCUAACUCUGUCAACA
ensembl:lncRNA